AUUGAACGCUGGCGGCAUGCCUUACACAUGCAAGCCGAACGGUAACGGGUCCUUCGGGAUGCCGACGAGUGGCGAACGGGUGAGUAAUAUAUCGGAACGUGCCCAGUAGUGGGGGAUAACUGCUCGAAAGAGCAGCUAAUACCGCAUACGACCUGAGGGUGAAAGGGGGGGAUCGCAAGACCUCUCGCUAUUGGAGCGGCCGAUAUCAGAUUAGCUAGUUGGUGGGGUAAAGGCCUACCAAGGCAACGAUCUGUAGUUGGUCUGAGAGGACGACCAGCCACACUGGGACUGAGACACGGCCCAGACUCCUACGGGAGGCAGCAGUGGGGAAUUUUGGACAAUGGGCGCAAGCCUGAUCCAGCAAUGCCGCGUGCAGGAAGAAGGCCUUCGGGUUGUAAACUGCUUUUGUCAGGGAAGAAAUCUUCUGGGCUAAUACCCCGGGAGGAUGACGGUACCUGAAGAAUAAGCACCGGCUAACUACGUGCCAGCAGCCGCGGUAAUACGUAGGGUGCGAGCGUUAAUCGGAAUUACUGGGCGUGAAGCGUGCGCAGGCGGCUUUGCAAGACAGAUGUGAAAUCCCCGGGCUCAACCUGGGAACUGCAUUUGUGACUGCAAGGCUAGAGUACGGCAGAGGGGGAUGGAAUUCCGCGUGUAGCAGUGAAAUGCGUAGAUAUGCGGAGGAACACCAAUGGCGAAGGCAAUCCCCUGGGCCUGUACUGACGCUCAUGCACGAAAGCGUGGGGAGCAAACAGGAUUAGAUACCCUGGUAGUCCACGCCCUAAACGAUGUCAACUGGUUGUUGGACGGCUUGCUGUUCAGUAACGAAGCUAACGCGUGAAGUUGACCGCCUGGGGAGUACGGCCGCAAGGUUGAAACACAAAGGAAUUGACGGGGACCCGCACAAGCGGUGGAUGAUGUGGUUUAAUUCGAUGCAACGCGAAAAACCUUACCUACCCUUGACAUGUCAAGAAUUCUGCAGAGAUGUGGAAGUGCUCGAAAGAGAACUUGAACACAGGUGCUGCAUGGCCGUCGUCAGCUCGUGUCGUGAGAUGUUGGGUUAAGUCCCGCAACGAGCGCAACCCUUGUCAUUAGUUGCUACGCAAGAGCACUCUAAUGAGACUGCCGGUGACAAACCGGAGGAAGGUGGGGAUGACGUCAGGUCCUCAUGGCCCUUAUGGGUAGGGCUACACACGUCAUACAAUGGCCGGUACAGAGGGCUGCCAACCCGCGAGGGGGAGCCAAUCCCAGAAAACCGGUCGUAGUCCGGAUCGUAGUCUGCAACUCGACUGCGUGAAGUCGGAAUCGCUAGUAAUCGCGGAUCAGCUUGCCGCGGUGAAUACGUUCCCGGGUCU
rnacentral:rRNA from 1 species